rnacentral:lncRNA from 1 species
UUGACUAUUGUCCAAAGAUAUGUGGAUCUUUGAAUAAGAUUUUCAACGACUUCGACCGGAGCUCAUCCAACCCUUGGAUGACAUUGUUGGCUCUAACUCGUCGGUGCUGAGUUCUUCCAACCCCAGGAGGAUGAUGGGGAACCAUCUUGAAGCUCAAGUCCUAGUCCGCAAAGAUCGAGCCUGAAUACAUGAGCAGCCGCACCGCGACGUUAGAGCUGACAUGAAGGAUCCAGACUUCGAGUAUACAACGUGAUGACGAGCCCCACAAUUUGAUUUUACUUGCUU